rnacentral:rRNA from 1 species
AACGAACGCUGGCGGCAGGCUUAACACGUGCAAGUCGAGCGCCCCGCAAGGGGAGCGGCAGACGGGUGAGUAACGCGUGGGAAUCUACCCAUCACUACGGAAUAACGCAUGGAAACGUGUGCUAAUACCGUAUACGUCCUUCGGGAGAAAGAUUUAUCGGAGAUGGAUGAGCCCGCGUUGGAUUAGCUAGUUGGUGGGGUAAAGGCCUACCAAGGCGACGAUCCAUAGCUGGUCUGAGAGGAUGAUCAGCCACACUGGGACUGAGACACGGCCCAGACUCCUACGGGAGGCAGCAGUGGGGAAUAUUGGACAAUGGGCGCAAGCCUGAUCCAGCCAUGCCGCGUGAGUGAUGAAGGCCCUAGGGUUGUAAAGCUCUUUCACCGGUGAAGAUAAUGACGGUAACCGGGGAAGAAGCCCCGGCUAACUUCGUGCCAGCCGCCGCGGUAAAAC